rnacentral:lncRNA from 1 species
AAGGUCAUAUUCUAAUUUUUGAAUAUGGCUCAUUUCCACUCAUUUCCAAAAAACGUUUAAGAUAUCGACAAAUUAUUUUUUCUAAAUCGUUUGUUGUGACAUGUCGUAACACGUAAAUUUUGAUUGCAAGGGUACGUUGAAUGUGAAAGGGAGUUUUCUCCCCUUUGGUAUUUAAAAAUACGCGUAUGGUGAUAUAACUCAUUAACUAAACAUAAUUAAGACCUAUGGUCUUUUG